GUGUCAGCAGCCGCGGUAAUACGUACCGUCCAAACGUUAUUCGGAAUCACUGGGCUUAAAGAGUUCGUAGGCGGUGCAGAAAGUUGGGUGUGAAAUCCCUCGGCUCAACCGAGGAACAGCGCUCAAAACUACUGGACUAGAGGGAGAUAGAGGUGAGCGGAACUGAUGGUGGAGCGGUGAAAUGCGUUGAUAUCAUCAGGAACACCGGAGGCGAAGGCGGCUCACUGGGUCUCUCCUGACGCUGAGGAACGAAAGCUAGGGUAGCGAACGGGAUUAGAAACCCGGGUAGUCC
rnacentral:rRNA from 1 species